rnacentral:lncRNA from 1 species
UAGAAUCAUGUUAGAGCGCUGGGAUUGCCGGGUUGAUGAUUGCUCAGAAGAGGGGUGUGUUUUGGCAGUGGUGUCGGUUUGUGUUGAGCAUGCUGGUUGAGUUCUCGAGCUUGGAGUGUGUGUUCUUGUGCUUGGAGUUAGAGUUGGCCAAUGAAGUUGCCGAGGGCAUCUGCUGAUGGAGGUGCUGGUCAACUGGAGUUUCUUUUUGAAGAUGGUUGUUGGUGCAGAAACUCAAUUUUUAGUUGAAUUGUGUCGUGUUGGAGUUGUUGGAGGUCUUUAUCGGUGAUUGGACUUGGAGAUCUUGAGAGAGAGCUUUCAGAUUCUUCAAAUAUCUCCUCUAGGAAGUGUCUUCCUCUACUGCGUUGGGCAGCGACCACUCAACUCAGACGCCAUUGAUUCAUGUUGGUGGUGGCAUUUGCUUGUCGAAUCUGGGUGAAUUUUGGUGAGUUGGGUAGAUUUCUUGAUCUUUCUUGCUAUCUGUGCAUAGAGAAUGGAAAAAGAACUAAAGAAUUUGUGAACCUGAAGGGGAAUUCAGAGGCCGUGGUUGCCAAAUGAAGAGGUGUGGAUACUCCUCUUCGCUAGAUAUCUACUGCUAAUGAGAAAACAAAGGGGGAAAGGGCCUGAUCUCCAAGGGCUGAGAAGGAAAAAUGAGUGAAUGAGUGCUGUGUAUUGACAUGAAAACAAUGAAUGGAGAUAAGGAUCCACAACUCUGAAUUGCCCCCUUAGAAGACUAGUGGUUCUAAUUGCCAACAUAUGCUAAUAAAUGGUAUAUGCUGUGUAUGAUCAAAUCUAUGGCUCCAAUGCAGCUCUGGGUUCAAGGUUAGAAUCCCUUGAGCCUGGGUUUUUCAUUGAUACACCUACAUUGUAGUGCUUGCAUGGCAGCUUCCUACUUGUAGCAAGCUUGGACAUUGUCCUAGAAUGCCUGAGUUGAUUGGGUAUCUCUUGAAGGUGCAUCACAGCUUCAAGCAUCUCUUUUGCUUUGAAACGCCCUGGACAGGUGAGUGUAAUCCUGCUGUGAUAGUGCAGAGAUGCAUUGGAACAUGUCAACAAGCACGAGGUGAUACGGUCUUAUAUGCGUCAAUCCUGACGAGCAAAGAGGAGCAAAGGGGCUUCUUAUGAUUGCACAGCACUAACCUUGAUGUACAAAAGAUCAGCAGCAUUUCUUUUUUCAUGAGACCUCCAUAAAAUUUGUUCUCUGUGCCCAAUGGAUCCCUCAGUCCACCAUAUGCUGACAAAAGGCUCCACUGCAUUGAACGUCCCCAUGUGAUAUGCCAUAGGCUCAGACAUUGGCAACUUUGCUAUAGCCCCGCUUGCGGCUGCACUUGCUCCAUUUUGAUAGGGCUAGAUCUUUUAAUUUCUGGUUGCAUUCGUAGAGAACCC